CUCAGAAUCACCGGGCGAUCCCCUGUGUCAAACUCAUCAAAGGCAAGCACUUGUCCUUGUUUUUCUGAUUCUCUUUUCCUGCUGAGUUACUGCCUGUGUGAAAGCAGCUGUGAGGCCCCCUGUUUGAUAUUUAUCCACCCUGCAGAUGAAGUCAGAGCUCAACAACACAGGGAUUAGCCAGGGUGCCUGGCUGCUUGCUCUCCUUCAAAAGGAGAAACUAGGGGCCAACUCUCACACAGGAGGCCAGUCAGAGCAAAUCCCUGCUCCUGCUUGAUUUGUUGCCUGGAUACAUUGUUGCCCCUUGGCAGGGGUACAGCCACCAGAACAUUUGCCCCAUUGUGAUGUCUCCUAUGUCUCCACAGUCAUCAAACACCAAGAAUAUUGCUGGCCACUCUUGGGAGGGCUUAUCAGCCACAAGGUGUAUGUGCCCACCACUAGCUCUUGUCAGGAGGUGUGAGUAGUGCAGCCUUCAAGUUUAAGAGCUUGGGAAAGUAAAGAGAACAUGCAGAGUAUUAAUAACAUUAUGGAGUUGUCUAGGACUUGGCACCAUCUGGAGAGCCCUCCAGGUGAGGUGCAGGCAUUGAUGAGGUGAGAUGUGGGAGAAGUUACUGCAAAUCCACCUCUGGCCAUCUGGAUCCCCACAGGGAAACCCCAUACAGCAAUCAGCACCAAGAGCCAUUCACAGGAGCAGCAGGGAGGAUGAACCUCUAAAAAUAUUUAAGCGGUCCUUCUUUAGAAAGCCUCUCUGAUGCUGGGGCCCUCUUAGAAAGCUAGUUCCCUGCUGUUCAUGGACUUUCAGUAAUUUACUAACAUAAUGGAGAUUUUCAUCAGGGAGCAAAGACUUGGAAAAGAUAUCUGAAUUGGAAAAAAGACACAUAUUUCCAGUCAAGAAGAUUUGAUUUCUAGCUCCUUUAAUCAAUACAAGUAAAAUCCAGUGGGAGAGGCUGCUUGUGCUAAUUUGAUUGUUAUCUUUGGCCAGUUCACAAUAAAACCCAAUGGAAUUGUUUGUGGGGGCUCCA